rfam:Schistosoma mansoni, Puerto Rico, WGS project CABG01000000 data, contig: 0077
AUCCAGUUGACGAAUCCCAAAUAGGACGAAACGCGCCUGUUGGAU